rnacentral:rRNA from 1 species
CCUACGGGAGGCAGCAGUAGGGAAUUUUCGGCAAUGGGCGAAAGCCUGACCGAGCAACGCCGCGUGAACGAAGAAGGUCUUCGGAUUGUAAAGUUCUGUUAUAGAGGAAGAAUGGUGUACGAAGGUAAUGGCGUACAAAUGACGGUACUCUGUGAGCAAGCCACGGCUUACUACGUGCCAGCAGCCGCGGUAAUACGUAUGUGGCGAGCGUUAUCCGGAAACAUUGGGCGGAAAGUGGGAGCAGGCGGCCUGGAGGGACUAUUGUUAAAAGGCAAUGGCUUAAACAUUGUAAGGCGAAGAAACCGGCAGGCUAGAGUGCGCAAGAGGAUCGUGGAAUUCCAUGUGUAGCGGUGAAAUGCGUAGAGAUAUGGAGGAACACCAGUGGCGAAGGCGACGAUCUGGGAAGCAACAGACGCUGAGUCCCGAAAGCGUGGGGAGCAAAUAGGAUUAGAUACCCCGGUAGUC